UUUGGAUCGAUUAUCGAUUAUGGACGAAAAAAGUAAAGUAAUUGUAGAAAAAUAUCUUGUUCUUUCCAUUAGAAUAGUUAAUUUAUUGUCUACUCUAUGGACAUAAGAUUGUAUGAUGAUGUAAUAACAAAUUUUUAAUACAUUUUAGGUUCUGGUACAAAAUAAAACUAGUUAUUAGAGAGAUAUACAGGGUGAGGAUUUUAAACCCGGAAAAUUGAAGGAUAAUAUAUAUUACAAUUUAUUUCCCAAAAUUAAUUUAACAAUUCAUAAAUAUUUUAUUCUUAAAUAUUCAUAAUGAGCUCAAUUCCUCAAACCAGCCACCUCCAGCUUCAAACACAGCCUGCAUGAACCUGGCAAUGACUUUGAUGACGAACUCCUUCUCUAUGUCGGGAAUUGCCUCGAGAAUAGAAGCUCUAAAUGAUUCAAAAGUGUUAUGUGCAUGUUUAAUGCACUCUCUCUCCAAGAAUUUCCACACAUAGUAGUCCAAGGGGUUACGAUCUGUUAAGCUAAAAGGUCACAUUUAUUUUGCCCAAAACAUAAAAGUCUUAAAAAUAUUAGCUUUUCCGGAAUAAAUCCGGUUCCAAUUAUGCCGUUUGAACAAACUACACUAAUUUAAAAAUUUAGCACAACACCAGAUCUGUUAACAUCCAUUUAAGAUCUGUGGAGUUAUUUGUGUGCUUGACGCGGAGACACACAAAAAUGGCCGCAUUGAUAUUCGAAAUACAUCUACAGGAUUUUGUAUAUAUUCUUAUACAAUUUUGUCAACAGAAUCAGCUGAGCACACUUUCAUAAACAUAUAUUUGAGGGUUUCCAAGAUAUUGAGGCCUAAACUGAUUCUGGAUUUAAAAUCCCAGCCCUAUAUUUUCAUAGAACGCUCCCAAAAUAUCCAACAUCAACCAUACUGAUGACGCGUUACAUAAAAAACUAUUUGUUACAUACAUUAUUUGUAACUGACUCUCUAUCAAUUGGCAAUUAAGUCAUCAUCAUAAAAAUUAUGACCUCUACAGCAAUUCUACAAAGACUCUGUCGGAUUCAUAAAACGGUCAACCAGGCCGGAUUGUAAAGAGUUCCAAAAGAUUGCUAUUCCAGCAGACAUUGGAAUUGUCAUCAUCAUUGGAUUCUUUGCCAAACUAUUUCUUAUUCCCAUCAAUAACAUCAUUGUUGGAUCAUAAAACUUUUCAUCAAGGAUCCACAUUUUUUUAAUUCUCAAUCUUUUUGGAAAAUGCACCAUUGUUUGUUUAUUUUAAAGAACAAUCUCCCUCCUACCCAAUUGUUGAUGCAGCAUUCGAACACCACCCCUAAUAAUACUUUUAAAACACUUCAUAAAUCGAAUGUAAUCUCUUACAAAACUUUGAAAAAAAAGGUUAUCGUCCACUGUUUAUAAUAAUAUGAAAACCUUUAAUUUUUAUUUUAAGAACUAUUUUCUGUUAUAUUAAAAAAAAACCUCA
rnacentral:lncRNA from 1 species